GCUUGGCAGAAUCAGCGGGG
rnacentral:ncRNA from 2 species